GAUUAAAUAAAAGUGAUAGCAUGACGUUAGUUUUUCCGCAUCCACUUGGACCACAAAUAAUGGUCGCGUUCACCAGAAUAAUCCGAGUGCAAUCCGAUUAAUUUGCGCUGAAACGCUGACAGUUUUUUUACUAGUGAACGACUGACGUUUGACAUUCGAUUGAGAGUGUUCUGUGUUCCAUUUGUUUAUGUUUUUAUUCUUUGUUUAUAUAAUUUAUAACCUAAACCUAGACAGUUUUGUUUUUAUUUUAAAUAAAACUGAAACUGUUUAAACUAAAAUGGAUAAUAUUCUUGAAGAACUUUUGUUUGGGGACGAAAUUAGCAAAUGCCGUUAUACAUUUAGCAGAUGUACCUACCUCAAAUUAUUCCAGAAGGAUGAGAUGAAAUUAAAUAUAUAUAAACCAUAAUUCAAUAUCCAAUUUAGAGAACAUUUUCGUAUGUCCAGAACUACUUUCCAGGAACUAUUUAAUUGUAUUGGUCAUAUCCACCAAUUUGAAAACAGAAUAAUUCUAUUGGAAAAAAUUAAUGUUUAUGAUGUGGAUGCUAAGUAAACCAGAUAAUUUGUUGCUGGGGAUACGUUUGGUUUGCCAAAGAGCUCUGGACAUAAGAUUUUCACCCAAAUAAUAUAGAAUUACAAAAAAUUGGAAAUAACUAAUCUUGAAUAUCAAUGUGUAUAUUGAGUUUAAUUUUAUUGUAAAUAUUCUAUAAUAUAAUUUUAUUGUAAAUAUUAUAUUAACACAUUUGUGGACACAUUUUCAUAUGCAGACAGUAAUUUCCCUUUGUAAGUACAUGCAUAUAUAGUCGUAUCUGCGAAUGGGUUAAUUGUAAAUCGUAAUCAAUAAAAAUUUUUUGUGAAUCAAUAAAAAACUGGUUUGUUUGAAAAUAAAUGUAGUACAAAUGUG
rnacentral:lncRNA from 1 species